UGGGGAAUAUUGGACAAUGGGCGCAAGCCUGAUCCAGCCAUACCGCGUGGGUGAAGAAGGCCUUCGGGUUGUAAAGCCCUUUUGUUGGGAAAGAAAUCCUAUCGGUUAAUAACCGGUGGGGAUGACGGUACCCAAAGAAUAAGCACCGGCUAACUUCGUGCCAGCAGCCGCGGUAAUACGAAGGGUGCAAGCGUUACUCGGAAUUACUGGGCGUAAAGCGUGCGUAGGUGGUGGUUUAAGUCUGCUGUGAAAGCCCUGGGCUCAACCUGGGAAUUGCAGUGGAUACUGGAUUACUAGAGUGUGGUAGAGGGAUGCGGAAUUUCUGGUGUAGCAGUGAAAUGCGUAGAGAUCAGAAGGAACAUCCGUGGCGAAGGCGGCAUCCUGGGCCAACACUGACACUGAGGCACGAAAGCGUGGGGAGCAAA
rnacentral:rRNA from 1 species